rnacentral:rRNA from 1 species
UGCGUAGGGCGCAAGCGUUGUCCGGAAUUAUUGGGCGUAAAGAGCUCGUAGGCGGUUUGUCGCGUCUGCUGUGAAAGCCCGGGGCUCAACCCCGGGUCUGCAGUGGGUACGGGCAGACUAGAGUGCAGUAGGGGAGACUGGAAUUCCUGGUGUAGCGGUGAAAUGCGCAGAUAAUCAGGAGGACACCGAUGGCGAAGGCAGGUCUCUGGGCUGUUACUGACGCUGAGGAGCGAAAGCAUGGGGAGCGAACAGGAUUAGAUACCCGGCGUAG